CGCCAGACUCCUACGGGAGGCAGCAGUGGGGAAUAUUGCACAAUGGGGGAAACCCUGAUGCAGCGACGCCGCGUGAGUGAAGAAGUAUUUCGGUAUGUAGAGCUCUAUCAGCAGGGAAGAAAAUGACGGUACCUGACUAAGAAGCCCCGGCUAACUACGUGCCAGCAGCCGCGGUAAUACGUAGGGGGCAAGCGUUAUCCGGAUUUACUGGGUGUAAAGGGAGCGUAGACGGCAUGGCAAGUCAGAUGUGAAAGCCCGGGGCUCAACCCCGGGACUGCAUUUGAAACUGUCAGGCUGGAGUGCAGGAGAGGUAAGUGGAAUUCCUAGUGUAGCGGUGAAAUGCGUAGAUAUUAGGAGGAACACCAGUGGCGAAGGCGGCUUACUGGACUGUAACUGACGUUGAGGCUCGAAAGCGUGGGGAGCAAACAGGAUUAGAUACCCGCGUAC
rnacentral:rRNA from 1 species